GCCAGCAGCCAUAUCACCCUGUAGCCCAAGACUGGUUGCCCACUGAAGCUAAGCAGGGCUGAGCCUGGUCAGUACCUGGAUGGGAGACCUCCUGGGAAAACUUGGUUGCUGUUGGAA
rnacentral:rRNA from 1 species